UUGAGACGGCCCUUGGGCCCUCUGUUGAGACGGCCCUUGGGCCCUCUGUUGAGACGGCCCCUGUCGAGGAGCCUGCCCCUGCACCUCCUGCUGAAGAGAUUCCUCCACCUGCCCCUGUUGAGGAGGUUGCUGCCCCACCUACAGCUGAAGAGGCGGCAUCUACACCUGUUGAGGAGGCUGCUCCUCCAGCUCCAACAGAGGAGCCAUCUGUGUUUGUAAUAGUAACUGCUGGGAAACCCAAAUUUGCACCCGACCCCAAGCUAGUUGACCUGGGCCAGGUCAGCCCUGAGGAUGAAGACCUGUACAACAUGCGUGGAUGAAGAACGACAGGAGGAAANNNNNNNNNNACAGGCUGUGUGUCCUGAUUCUCCACCCUUCUCCCCAAGUGUGUACUUGCGCACUUCCUGUCAUGCAUUUACCAAUGGUGGAAACUCCCGCCUCCGGACAAAAUUUUCACCAAUCCGAUUUGAAUUCAUUACACGGAGAAGGAUGGAGAAUCAGGACUCACCCAUACUGUAUUUGAAUUUGAACUCUGUCCACAAAUUAUGUUACUAACCAAACUGGACCAUUACACUAAAUAUAUCUAUUUUCUUUACUAGGGACUACUUGGGUCACUGCUAUGCUGUCACUUUUUUUGUCAGCCACAUUCACGUGGUGAAUGCCUGUUAUUAGUCUGGUCAGUCUAUGUAAAUAUUUUCCAUGUGGCAUUUCGUAAACGAGUGAGCCGUUUUAACACACAUCCAUGUUUUUAUAGCAUUUGUAAGACUUUAUAGAACUACUGAGUUGAACCUUUUUGUAAAACCCCAAUGUUUAUGGAUGUGUGCAGCUCUUGCACAAGUUAGACACUCACAAAUAAGCCCACAUAGAGGAACCUGGAAGUCAUGUUACAUUAUGAACUGGCCAGUUUGAUAUGCGUGUUUGGAUCAUUGGAAUAAUGUCCUUGUACUUGAUGUCAGUUAGUAUUUUCAAAAGGAAAUGUUUCAAACAUAUUUGUUUGUAUUUUAAUAGAACUGUCAACAUAUUUAAACUUUUUUUUAUAUAUAUAUAUAUUAGGCUAUUUUACAGUACAGCCAAGAGGACAUAUUUUACAUGUUUUAUCACUCCCUUUUCUUUUUUUAUAAAUGAAAAUCACUUCACGAAUUGACUGCCUUCAAUUUGAAAUCACCCCAGCCCUGAUCUUCACAAUGAUAAUCAUGUUUCAGAUGUGUGCAAUAUGCAAUAUAAUUUUGGUGCAAUAUAAUUGCCAAAUAGGGAAUAAAGGCAUUUUCCUUCAUUCUCCUUUUUUGUAAUUUUAAUCAGAGCAGAGAAAAAGUGCAAAUGGUAAAUAAAGUAUUGUGAUAGUCAUGCAAAGUAAUUGUGAAUGAUAUGAGUAUUUGAUUUCAAACACUAGAGGGCGAUAGUGUUAAUAUAUGCCUUUCGGGCAAAACCAGAAUAAGAAUGAACCAAGUCCAUGUUUAGGGGAAGGAAGUACAUUGUUUACAAAAAGGACUUAUUGGAAUGAGGGACACUUGAUUAUUUCAAAUUCAGAGAGGAGUUCCCAGAUAAUGAUAAGCUUAUAUCAAACCAAUAAUGAGUGGUUUGGAGGGAAUGAGUGGCUAACUGUAAAUUUCGCUAAGCAAUCCCUAGCCUGCUAUUCAGUGGAGAGGGUGUGUGUGGUCCAAGUCUGGGUUUAAGGCUCUCUUUUCCAAGCUUAAAAGGAUUAACAUUCACUUGCAACACAUCAUAGGCCAGAGAAGGUUGAAUACAUUGGCCAUGCUGUCAAUCCAGCAUGACUUCUGCCGCAUCCAAAACUGGGAACUGGGAAAUCUCAGACUUCAGUGAGUUCAAGACAACUGGGAACUCUGGAAAAAAUUGAGCUCCGAUUGGAAAAAUACAUUUUGAAAGGUCAUCUCACUUGGAAUUCUAAGUCAGGAACUCGGGCCUCUUUCUAGAGCUGCGACCUGAAGAUCACUGAUGUCAUGAUUCAACCUUGUUUUUUCCAGAGUUCCCAGUUGUCUUGAAAGCACCAUCAAUCCAGAGAAUGCUAGACUUUGAUUGCAAAGUUUGACCAAAUUUGCCCUCAAGAAGGACCGCCGCGCCACUUUCCUGUUUAAGUGAGCACAGCACAAGGUGAGUCCAAAAAUGUCUUGUAUGCUGCUGCAUAAAUUAUGUAAUAUGCUAUGGAGCUAUGUAUGCCGUAGCUAAGAAAGUAAUACUAAGUGUAUGUUGUGUAGUAAGCUGUUAGUAGCCCAUGUGCAUCACUUUAAUAAUUUGGUCCCUUUCCCCAUAACUUAACCUACUGUUCUGACAUGGUGGUGCACAUGUAGCCUAUAACUUGUUUUAGAAUCAAAUCAAAUGUAUUUGUCACAUACACAUGGUUAGCAGAUGUUAAUGCGAGUGUAGUGAAAUGCUUGUGCUUCUAGUUCCGACCAUGCAGUAAUAUCUAACAAGUAAUAUAACCUAACCAUUUCAUAACUACCUUAUACACACAAGUGUAAAGGAAUGAAUACGAAUAUGUACAUAAAAAUAUAUAGAGAACUGUAAUCAUCGAAUAUUGUAAGAGCUUUCAUUGUCUGCUUAUAUGCUCCCUUUUAUUUAUCCUACGGUUCUGACUUGGUGUACAGGGAGAAUACUGUAAGAACGGCCAAUGUUCUGAAUUCUGUCAUUGUACAUUUCAAAUAGUUAUAUCGACUACGUCAUCAUUGCUCGCUCAUUAAUGUCUUAAUCGAAAUUACGGAUUCACUCUUACCUGCUCGUUGUUCCCUUAUGCCAUAGUUUGUACAUCUCAAUUGUCAUUAGAAACCAUAUUUGUUUAAGCAAGUCAGCCAUAUCAGCUAGGUUUUUUCAAAGGCAGUAAAUGAGUGAACUGUUUCGCUGCCAGACAAGGCUGCGCUGUUAGCCAUGUUUAGCGGUGGAUUCACUCCAUGGUGCUGAAAAGAAAGCUCUGCUGUUGGGACAGCUUUACGGAUAAAGCACUAAAUAAACUUCAGUUAGUGCUAAACACGGCAGCUAGAAUCUUGACUAGAACCCCAAAAUCCAAUUCACACACUUAUCAAGAGUACAUCCCUACAGACUGAUCCGGUGGGCUCACUAAACUCCGACGCUUCAUUUGUAAAUUAUGUCUGAGUGUUGGAGUUGCCGUCUAGUUUGCUUAAUAUAAGGAAUUUGAAAUGAUUUAUACUUUUAUUUUUUAUACUUAAGUAUAUAUUAGCAAUUAAAUUUACUUAUACUAAUAAUAAUAUAAUAAUAAUAUUCUUAAGUAUAUUUAAAACCACAUACUUUUAGACUUU
rnacentral:lncRNA from 13 species